GGCUAUUUUGCUCUCAUUUUAUCCUUAGGCUUCAGCAGAAGAAACACUUCCUAUAAAUCUCGCCCAAACAGGAAAGCACCUAGAUUGACACUGAACAUAACUAACAACCAGAAAUCUCCGUGUACUCCCUUCCUGUAACUACCCCUGCGCCCGACCAAAUCACUCUCUUCUAACAGCAUAACUUUGUGUGACUAGCUUUUUUAAUGUAAAAGAAUGAAAUCUACAGCAUGUAUUCAUUUGCAUCUGGCUUCUGCCACCCAACAUUAUAUUUGUGGGAUUCAUUUGUACAGUUGCAUAUUAGUUUGCAGAUCCCUCACUCUCGUUUCUAUAUGGUAUUAUAUUGCAUAAACGUACCACACUUUAUCUAACUACUGUUAAAUAUUUGUGCAUCUUCUACUUGGGGGCGAUUUCAAAUAGUGCUGCUAUGAACAUUCUUGUAAAUGUCUUUUGGUGAACAUAUGCAACACAUAUAUGCGUUGUUGUUGGUUCCCAGGAGGGGCAUUCCUGGGUCAUAAACAAUGCAUGUGUUCAGGUUUAGUAUGGUAUAAUGCCAAACAGGUUUCCAAAGUGUUUGUGCCACUUUACAUACCCGCCAUUAUUGAAAAAGAGUUCUGUUUGCU
rnacentral:lncRNA from 10 species